rnacentral:rRNA from 1 species
GAUGAACGCUGGCGGCGUGCCUAAUACAUGCCAGUCGAGCGAACAGACGAGGAGCUUGCUCCUUCGACGUUAGCGGCGGACGGGUGAGUAACACGUAGGUAACCUACUUAUAAGACUGGGAUAACUUCGGGAAACCGGAGCUAAUACCGGAUAAUAUUUCGAACCGCAUGGUUCGAUAGUGAAAGAUGGCUUUGCUAUCACUUAUAGAUGGACCUGCGCCGUAUUAGCUAGUUGGUAAGGUAACGGCUUACCAAGGCAACGAUACGUAGCCGACCUGAGAGGGUGAUCGGCCACACUGGAACUGAGACACGGUCCAGACUCCUACGGGAGGCAGCAGUAGGGAAUCUUCCGCAAUGGGCGAAAGCCUGACGGAGCAACGCCGCGUGAGUGAUGAAGGUCUUCGGAUCGUAAAACUCUGUUAUUAGGGAAGAACAAACGUGUAAGUAACUGUGCACGUCUUGACGGUACCUAAUCAGAAAGCCACGGCUAACUACGUG